rnacentral:lncRNA from 1 species
GCAUCAUCUUCCACAGCACCUUCCACAACAGCAACAUUGUCUACAACUGCACAGUCAGCAGCUUGAGGGAGCCCUUCAAAGGCAGAAACAAUCCAAGAUGGCUGACGAGAAUUCUCAGAGCAUUGGAAGAGGACAGUGCACGAUUACUUCCCAGGGGAACCACCCUUGGUGUCUGGAGACUUCCACUUGCUUUGCGUUUUGAAAGUGCUCACG